GGCUUUGCGUCUAGUCCGGCGUCGCAGACCGGUUUCGCCAUGUCUCUUCCUCAAACGGUGUUCGGCUAUGACAAGAUGAAGCUGGAUGUCUCCUUCCCAGACGCUGGCUGCCAGCAACUCCUGGAGCAUGAAUGCAAGCUAUGUACUUUCCAGGAGAGGCGAAUGGUCACACAAGUAGCUGCUGACCCUCUGGUGAAUAGUCAAAGGGAUACAUGGUCCGAACCAGCGAUGGGAACAGCAAACAAGGCUUUCCCUUGGAAGGUCCCAGCAAGGUGUCUGGACCCACGGCCAAGUGCACCUGCUGUUGUGACCAAGGAAAGCUGGAGAGAGGCAGGCUGAGUCUGUCUGCAGGCACGUUACGGAUGCCAGUCUGAGUCCUCAACUCGGUUAUCAUGAGCCAAGGAGAAAAGGAGAUUCCUGGACUGACAGAUACUCCUGGGCCCCAAAGAACUGCAGAAUCGGAAAGCUUUUCAGUCUUUCCAAAGAAGCUGAUGGUGCCAGUCAACACGUUGUGAGAAAGCAAGCAAAGAAGGGAAGAAGCCCAGGACCACAGCCCCCAAGAUCCAAGACCCAGCAUCUCCUUACUCCACCUGUCCUGCAACAAAACACCAAUGUAUUGUUCAGUAGAGACUAGGUGCUAUGGAGAUGGAGAGAGGCUGUAGAGCUAAGCGUUGCUAUGGAGACCGAGGAGAGGCUACAGAGCUAAGCCUUGGGCCAAGAGAAUGAAGGAAGCCACAGAAAAAAUGCCAAGAUCAGACUGCCAAGAGAUGUAGGCUGCUUUUACCUCCAAGUCAAAGUC